rnacentral:rRNA from 1 species
GCCAGCGAGUCAUUUCGGGCACUCUAAGCAGACUGCCUCGGAUAACGGGGAGGAAGGUGGGGAUGACGUCAAGUCAGCAUGGCCUUUAUGUCCAGGGCUACACACGUGCUACAAUGGGCGGUACAGAGGGAUGCAAUGCCGCAAGGUGGAGCUAAUCCCUAAAACCGUUCUCAGUUCAGAUUGCAGGCUGCAACUCGCCUGCAUGAAGAUGGAAUCGCUAGUAAUCGCGGAUCAGCUACGCCGCCGGUGAACUACGUUCUCGGGCCUU